UCCUACGGGGGGCAGCAGCCGCGGUAAUACGUAUGGUGCAAGCGUUAUCCGGAUUUACUGGGUGUAAAGGGAGCGCAGGCGGUGCGGCAAGUCUGAUGUGAAAGCCCGGGGCUCAACCCCGGGACUGCAUUGGAAACUACCGAACUAGAGUGUCGGAGAGGUAAGUGGAAUUCCUAGUGUAGCGGUGAAAUGCGUAGAUAUUAGGAGGAACACCAGUGGCGAAGGCGGCUUACUGGACGAUAACUGACGCUGAGGCUCGAAAGCGUGGGGAGCAAACAGGAUUAGAUACCCCACAGAUCGGAAGG
rnacentral:rRNA from 1 species